rnacentral:rRNA from 1 species
AUUGAACGCUGGCGGCAGGCCUAACACAUGCAAGUCGAACGAGUGGCGGACGGGUGAGUAAUGUCUGGGAAACUGCCUGAUGGAGGGGGAUAACUACUGGAAACGGUAGCUAAUACAGCAUACCAUCGGAGGUGCACAGAUGGGAUUAGCUAGUAGGUGGGGUAACGGCUCACCUAGGCGAUGAUCCCUAGCUGGUCUGAGAGGUUGACCAGCCACACUGGAACUGAGACACGGUCCCGACUCCUACGGGAGGCAGCAGUGUGGAAUAUUGCACAAUGGUCGCAACCCUGAUGUAGCCAUGCCGCGUGUGUGAAGAAGGCCUUCGGGUUUUAAAGCACUUUCAGCGGGGAGGCGUUACCCGCAGAAGAAGCACCGGCUAACUCCGUGCCAGCAGCCGCGGUAAUUC